rnacentral:rRNA from 1 species
GGAUGAACGCUAGCUACAGGCCUAACACAUGCAAGUCCGGGGCAUCGGGAGGAAGCUUGCUUUUCUUGCCGGCGACCGGCGCACGGGUGCGUAACGCGUAUCCAACCUGCCCUUCACACCGGGAUAGCCUUGCGAAAGCAAGAUUAAUACCGGGAUGUUCUCUCCGUGCCUCAUGACACGGUGAGCAAAGCCUUCGGGCGGUAAAGGAUGGGGAUGCGUCCGAUUAGCUUGUUGCGGGUAACGGCCCACCAAGGCGACGAUCGGUAGGGGUUCUGAGAGGAAGGUCCCCCACACUGGAACUGAGACACGGUCCAGACUCCUACGGAGGCAGCAGUGAGGAAUAUUGGUCAAUGGACGAGAGUCUGAACCAGCCAAGUAGCGUGCAGGAUGACGGCCCUAUCGGGUUGUAAACUGCUUUUAUGCGGGAUCAAUGGCAGUCACGUGUGACUGAGAUGUGCGUACCGCAUGAAUAAUGACCGGCUAAUUCCGUGCC